UUUAAUGGGCAAACCCACAAAAGGAGAAUCACACUUAAUGGGCAAACCAACAAAAGAUGAAUCAAUUAAAUGGGCAAACCCACAAAAGGUGAAUCACAUUAAAUGGGCACAACCACAAAAAGUGAAUCACAUUAAAUGGGCACACCCACAAAAGGUGAAUCACAUUAAAUGGGCAAACCCACAAAAGGUGAAUCAUAUUAAAUGGGCAAACCCACAAAAGGUGAAUCUCAUUAAAUGGGCACACCCACAAAAGGUGAAUCACAUUAAAUGGGGAAACCCACAAAAGGUGAAUCACAUUAAAUGGGCAAACCCACAAAGGGGUGAAUCACAUUAAAUGGGCACACCGACAAAAGGUGAAUCACAUUAAAUGGGCAAACCCACAAAAGUUGAAUCACAUCAAAUGGGCAAACCCACAAAAGGUGAAUCACAUUAAAUGGGCACACCCACAAAAGAUGAAUCACAUUUAAUGGGCAAACACACAAAAGGUGUAUCACAUUAAAUGGGCAAACCCACAAAAGGUGAAUCACAUCAAAUGGUCAAACCCACAAAAGGUGAAUAACAUUAAAUGGGCAAACCCACAAAAGGUGAAUCACAUUAAAUGGGCACACCCACAAAAGUUGAAUCACAUUAAAUGGGCAAACCCACAAUAGGUGAAUCACAUUAAAAUUAAUCUGGAUGAUCAUUCAGUCGUCUCUUAUAUGGCUUUUGUUUAGUGAUUGAAGUAUUUAAAUUGAGCAUACAUAGGUAGUUAAUUAUAAUGAUUUUUAGCUCUCUUGAACACAAAGUGCUCGAGGUGGGCUAUUGAGAGACCAGGUGUCCUUCGUUGUAUGUUGUGUAUCAGGCUUGUAAACGCUUAGCUCUUUAUUGCUCUAGAAUCCACAUUUUUAAUAAAAUUUUAAGGAAGUUUG